rnacentral:sRNA from 1 species
CGAGACAGCCUUGCUGCAUGUGCUGCAGAAGGCAAAAUUUAUACAUCUGGAGGUUCAGAAGUAGGAAACUCAGCUCUGUAUUUAUUUGAGUGCUAUGAUACGAGAACUGAAAGCUGGCACACAAAGCCCAGCAUGCUGACCCAGCGCUGCAGCCAUGGGAUGGUGGAAGCCAAUGGCCUAAUCUAUGUUUGUGGUGGAAGUUUAGGAAACAAUGUUUCUGGGAGAGUGCUUAAUUCCUGUGAAGUUUAUGAUCCUGCCACAGAAACGUAUGUAUCUAUUUAAAAUUUAUUUUACAGUUAAUUGUAUUCUAUAAGCUCUGUAAGAGAUGUCA